rnacentral:rRNA from 1 species
AGUGAACGCUGGCGGUAGGCCUAACGCAUGCCAGUCGAACGGCAGCACAGUAAGAGCUUGCUCUUACGGGUGGCGAGUGGCGGACGGGUGAGGAAUACAUCGGAAUCUACUUUUUCGUGGGGAUAACGUAGGGAAACUUACGCUAAUACCGCAUACGGCCUACGGGUGAAAGCAGGGGAUCUUCGGACCUUGCGCGAUUGAAUGAGCCGAUGUCGUAUGAGCUAGUUGGCGGGGUAAAGGCCCACCAAGUCGACGAUCCGUAGCUGGUCUGAGAGGAUGAUCAGCCACACUGGAAGUGAGACACGGUCCAGACUCCUAAGGGAGGCAGCAGUGGGGAAUAUUGGACAAUGGGCGCAAGCCUGAUCCAGCCAUACCGCGUGUGUGAAGAAGGCCUUCGGGUUGUAAAGCCCUUUUGUUGGGAAAGAAAAGCAGCAGGUUAAUACCCCGCUGUUCUGACGGUACCCAAAGAAUAAGCACCGGCUAACUUCGUG